rnacentral:rRNA from 1 species
GCUUGACCUCAAAUCA